CUGACACGGCUGUUACUGUGACAAACUUCACAAGCAAAUUCAUUAGCUUCCCCGGGUUUCCCUUCCCUCUUGUGUUAACUCUUUAGAAUGCUCUGAAAUAAAAGGGCCAGGUGAAUUCUUCCUCUAAGGUGCCACAAGUACUCCUUUUCUCCUUCCUGGAGAGCGUCUUUACCGUGUAAAGCCCCAGCUGCUAUCCUGCCAAUUCCAUGAAAUGUAUGUGUGUAUGUUUCCCUAUGAAUGUUGUUAUUUUUUAAAUUGUAUUACUGUAGUGCAUCCAGGCCGCAGUGGAGGUCUGGGUGCCGUUAUGCCAAGCUCUGUAUAUAUACCUAAAAAGAGACAGUCCCCACCCCCAAGAGUUUAUAGACUACAUAGAAAAGACAGAAGAAAGUGUGGAGGAAAGGAAGGAUUAUUAACCUUAUUCUACAGAUGGGGAACAGAGACACAGGGAGAUUAAGUGACUUGCCUAAGCUGGAAAUUAAACCAACAUCUUCUGAGUCCCAGUCCGGUGCCUUGACCACAAGACCUUACUUCCCCUACUAAAAAUGUUAUCUACUGUUACUUUUAUUCCAUUUUUGCUUGCUGGGGAGAGAAUUGAGGGGAAAUAGCUCACUAUGUAAAUAUAUUGUAAUAAAUCUGCAGCCUCCUU